rnacentral:misc_RNA from 1 species
GAUUAAGAACGCAUCGAAAUGCGAUAAGUAAUGUGAAUUGCAGAAUUCAGUGAAUCAUCGAAUCUUUGAACGCACAUUGCGCCCGCCAGUAUUCUGGCGGGCAUGCCUGUUCGAGCGUCAUUUCAACCAUCAAGCCCUGCUUGCGUUGGGGUCCUGCGGCUGCCCGCAGGCCCUGAAAACCAGUGGCGGGCUCGCUAGUCACACCGAGCGCAGUAAUACAUCUCGCUUUGGGCGUGCGGCGGGUUCUUGCCGUUAAACACCCCCUUUUUACCAAGGUUGACCUCGGAUCAGGUAGGAAUACCCGCUGAACUUAAGCAUAUCAAUAAGCGGAGGA